rnacentral:lncRNA from 1 species
CUUUAUAGCCUUGCAUUCCGGUUCGCAUAAUCAACCGUACCUGCAUCCGCAAAAAGAGGCAUGAGUAUACAAAUUACUUACUGAGGACGCUCAAAACCGCCCCCAUGCAACUCACUAAUCAAACAAUAAAAUUCAAUGUUCCAUUCUAACGACCUAGCAUUUCCAUUCUAUCAACCUAGCAAUUUGUUUCCAUUAUUUCUUACCUAGUCUUUUUUCCUAUUACUUAUCUAUUUUCAUGCAUCCAAAACAAACA